UACGAAGGGGGCUAGCGUUGCUCGGAAUGACUGGGCGUAAAGGCGCGUAGGCGGUUCAUACAGUCAGAUGUGAAAUUCCCCGGCUUAACCUGGGGGCUGCAUUUUGAUACGUAUGGGCUUGAGUGAGGAAGAGGGGUUGUGGAAUUUUCCCAGUGUAGAGGUGAAAAUUCGUAGAUAUCGGGGAGGAACACCAGUGGCGAAGGCGGCUCUCUGGACAGGUACUGACGCUGAGACGCGAAAAGCGUGGGGUAGCAAACAG
rnacentral:rRNA from 1 species